rnacentral:ncRNA from 1 species
GCUCUGCCAACGCUACGGCUUGGCAGGCAGACCUCUUUAACGUGGUCAGCCAGUUUUGUCCUGCUUCGGCAAAUACGUUUAGCGGUUCGGUAGAGCGCCUAGUAAGUUAUUGAAAAGCGCAGCCGAC